rnacentral:snoRNA from 1 species
GAGACUGUGAUGAUGCUGCUAGUUAUCGCAUGUUCGAGUUCUACCGACCAUGAGAUGAAAAGAUCCAUGCACCUCCAUCUGAGAUCUC